GAGUUUGAUCAUGGCUCAGAACGAACGCUGGCGGCAUGCCUAACACAUGCAAGUCGAACGAGACCUUCGGGUCUAGUGGCGCACGGGUGCGUAACGCGUGGGAAUCUGCCCUUGGGUUCGGAAUAACAGUUAGAAAGUGACUGGCUAAUACCGGAUGAUGUCUUCGGACCAAAGAUUUAUCGCCCAGGGAUAGAGCCCGCGUAGGAUUAGCUUGUUGGUGAGGUAAAGGCUCACCAAGGCGACGAUCCUUAAGCUGGUCUGAGAGGAUGAUCAGCCACACUGGGACUGAGACACGGCCCAGACUCCUACGGGAGCAGCAGUGGGGAAUAUUGGGACAAAUGGGCGAAAAGCCUGAUCCAAGCAAAUGCCGCGUGAGUGAUGAAGGCC
rnacentral:rRNA from 1 species